rfam:Eucalyptus grandis cultivar BRASTZ1 unplaced genomic scaffold scaffold_8, whole genome shotgun sequence.
GUUCAGGUAGCUCAGCUGGUUAGAGCAAAGGACUGAAAAUCUUUGUGUCAGUGGUUCAAAUCCACUUCUAAGUA